rnacentral:rRNA from 1 species
GACGAACGCUGGCGGCGUGCCUAAUACAUGCAAGUAGAACGCUGAAGGAGGAGCUUGCUUCUCUGGAUGAGUUGCGAACGGGUGAGUAACGCGUAGGUAACCUGCCUGGUAGCGGGGGAUAACUAUUGGAAACGAUAGCUAAUACCGCAUAAGAGUAGAUGUUGCAUGACAUUUGCUUAAAAGGUGCAAUUGCAUCACUACCAGAUGGACCUGCGUUGUAUUAGAUUGUUGGUGGGGUAAAGGAUCACCAUGGCGACGAUACGUAGCCGACCUGAGAGGGGGAUCGGCCAGACUGGGAGUGAGACACGGCCCAGACGCCUACGGGAGGCAGCAGUAGGGAAUCUUCGGCAAUGGACGGAAGUCUGACCGAGCAGCGCCGCGUGAGUGAAGAAGGUUGUCGGAUCGUAAAGCACUGUUGUAAGAGAAGAACGAGUGUGAGAGUGGAAAGUUCACACUGUGACGGUAUCUUACCAGAAAGGGACGGCUAACUACGUG